GCCUAGAUUAGCAUACGGGGCGGGGCUCGCUGCGCCCCGCCUUCUCUGCGGCUGCACCGCCCCGCGGGGGUUCGGUUCCGAGCGUCGCCUUCCUCUACGGUCUCCGUGUGGAGCCCGGCCGCGGGGUUCUAACGGUCCAGCCCGCAGGGACUCAGGACUGCGGUCUACCCCCGACCUCCUCACACCUUCCGGGGUGACCUGAGGGCGGAGCCUGAGUCCUGUGUCCCCGGUUGCACCGCCCCCAACCACCCCCGUCCCCUGUCGACCCCGUCUCCAGUCUCUUCCAAACCGGCCGGCCCCCGGCCUAGCAAUUCGAGAUUUCUCCCGUGGCUUCCGAGGAAAAGGAGGCCCCUACCCUGUAUCUGUGCCCUCCUUUGCAUCAGGGACCUAAACUGCUGUUUUGGAGAGGUUGUCUCUACCCCUCAGCUUGGUUGGUUUGAAACCCUGCACGACCUGUGAAGUCUUCCCCGGAUGGCUACAUCGUCUGGGGUCCCUUGUCCUGCCUGUACCCACAGCAAGCCCACGAAUCCAGGGCUUCCCUUGUUUCUGGAACAGCAGCCCUGAGGUUCUGUGGCUUCCCAGCUCUCAGCUGUCCCCCACCCCAGCGCCACCGCCCCUCAAAUGGGCCUUCACUUCUGCGCUGGGUCUCCUCACAGCCUCUCACCUGGCUGCCUGCCCAGUCUUCCCCACCCUAUCUCAGGAGAUCUUCCUAACUGGUUUCACCGUUACCCUCAUCCUGUGGACAAGGAAGCAGGUCUAGGAAGGUGAAGCACCUUGCCUGGUGUCAGCCAGCUAGCGAGGAGCGGAAUUGAAACUCAAGCCCCACUGGUUGAGUGUGGCCCGUGCAGCUCUCUACACCACCUGCUUCCUGCCUGAGAGGUCAGGGAGUGUCUGGCGACCAGUGACAGACUCAGGAAGGACCCAGGUCACCUUCCCCUUGGCCUCACAACUCCAGGCAGGCCCUGGGGGUUGGGGAAGGUCCAGGGAA
ensembl:lncRNA